AGACGUCUACAUUAGAUACCCCUGUAGUCCCAGCCGUAAACUAUGCGCGUUAGGUGUAUCGGUGACCACGAGUCACCGAGGUGCCGAAGGGAAACCGUGAAACGUGCCGCCUGGGAAGUACGGUCGCAAGGCUGAAACUUAAAGGAAUUGGCGGGGAGCACCACAACGGGUGGAGCCUGCGGUUUAAUUGGACUCAACGCCGGGAAGCUCACCGGAUAAGACAGCGGAAUGAUUGCCGGGCUGAAGACUCUGCAUGACUAGCUG
rnacentral:rRNA from 1 species